UCUUCAGCCCUUGCAUUCAGGGGUGUCUCUACACGUUCGAGGUGACAUGCAAAGAUAAAGAAACUGUACAACCUCUGGGAAUGAAUUUAUAUCUGUGAUCGUUUGAGUACAUGAUUCAUCCCUUGUAUGAGUGGCCAAAACUGAUCCUGCAGAAGACAAAAGGACAAAAUACUUCUUUGUAAUUCAGUGGAUGGAAAUGGGGAGCAAGAGAGAACAAAGGAUGGAUGAAAUGAGAGACGUGAUGUGGUGGAUGAUGCCACGGGGAACUCUGGAGUCAGGCAAACUUUAUUCGAAUUGUUGUUCUAUUAUGUCCUGUGUUUGAACUUGGGCAAGUUACAGCUUCUCUGAGGUUCAAAAUCCUCAUCUGUAAAAUGGGGACAAUAAUAUGUAUACUAGGGCAAUGCUUUGAGGAUUUAAUGAGAUAAUGUAUUUAAAGCACCUGGCAGAUAGGUAGAUAACUCCGUUCUCUUUUUCUUUUCCCAUGGGAAACUACAAACCAGGCAUGGAGAAGAUGAUAGCUCCUUUGUAAAAGUAAUUCUGGCUGGAAGAAAAGUUGGGAGAGAUCGUGGCAAUCGAGGUAUUAACCACACUGAAUAUCUGCUGAGCCCAGAACAGACGCCUAAGAGGGAAAGUACCAUAUGGCCACGGAAAAAAUUUGGUUGGAAACUCACCAUCAAAUAUGUCGACCAUUCUGAAGAAAGCCAGAGAUAACGAUGACUUUCCGCUGCCAGUGCGGCCACAUAUGCCCACCUGAAAAAGCGACU